GGAAGCCAUGGGAAUUGAGCCCUUGCCAUUCCAUGAUUUACUGUGCCAGAUGCUUGACCUAGUGAAGCCAGCUGUUGAUGGCAAAAUAACUCUAAGAGAUCUGAAGAGGUGCAGAAUGGCUCACAUCUUCUAUGACACUUUCUUUAAUCUGGAGAAAUACUUAGACCAUGAACAGAGAGAUCCCUUUGCGGUCCAGAAGGAUGUUGAGAACGAUGGGCCUGAGCCCUCAGACUGGGACCGGUUUGCCGCUGAGGAGUAUGAGACUCUUGUUGCAGAGGAAUCUGCCCAAGCACAAUUCCAGGAAGGCAAUCUUCACUCAUUUCCUGAUAGAGUCUUCUCAUGUCCAUUUCCUUUAAUGAGUCUCAUCUUUCACUGGAAACCGAGAUCACUGAACAAUCAAACUACUGUUUUAGUGAUAUUGAUAAACCCUGUACAUAAAGGAGGAGGCUAAAAGAACUAAAGCUCUGGCCGGGCACGGUGGCUCAUGCCUGUAAUCUCAGCACUUUGGGAGGCCGAGGCGGGUGGAUAACCAGAGGUCGGGAGUUUGAAACCAGCCUGACCAACAUGGAGAAACCCUGUCUCCACUAAAAAUACAAAAAAAUUAGCCGGUUAUGGUGGUGCAUGCCUGUAAUCCCAGCUACUUGGAAGGCUGAGGCAGGAGAAUCAGCUUUUACCCGGGAGGCAGAGGUUGCAGUGAGCCGAGAUCACGCCAUUGCACUCCAGCUUCGGCAACAAGAGCAAAACUCC
rnacentral:sRNA from 1 species